GGGUCUACCCAUUGGUCAGGCUUAAUUGUCUGUACUGGUGAGAUGGAUCUCUACCUUCUGAGGAACUUUCAUGCCAUUUAUUUGGUGUGGUUGGAAAUCAGGACUGUUACUUUGAAAAAAUUAGAGUGUUUAAAGCAGACUAUCGUCUGAAUACAUUAGCAUGGAAUAAUGAAAUAGGACGGACUGAUUCUAUUUCGUUGGUUUCUAGGACCGAAGUA
rnacentral:rRNA from 1 species